GAUGAACGCUGGCGGCGUGCCUAAUACAUGCAAGUCGAGCGAACGGACGAGAAGCUUGCUUCUCUGAUGUUAGCGGCGGACGGGUGAGUAACACGUGGAUAACCUACCUAUAAGACUGGGAUAACUUCGGGAAACCGGAGCUAAUACCGGAUAAUAUUUUGAACCGCAUGGUUCAAAAGUGAAAGACGGUCUUGCUGUCACUUAUAGAUGGAUCCGCGCUGCAUUAGCUAGUUGGUAAGGUAACGGCUUACCAAGGCAACGAUGCAUAGCCGACCUGAGAGGGUGAUAGGCCACACUGGAACUGAGACACGGUCCAGACUCCUACGGGAGGCAGCAGUAGGGAAUCUUCCGCAAUGGGCGAAAGCCUGACGGAGCAACGCCGCGUGAGUGAUGAAGGUCUUCGGAUCGUAAAACUCUGUUUUUAGGGAAGAACAUAUGUGUAAGUAACUGUGCACAUCUUGACGGUACCUAAUCAGAAAGCCACGGCUAACUACGUG
rnacentral:rRNA from 1 species